GUUUUGUGCGCGUUUUCCUCAGUUCUGUGGCGCGAGGUUUCUGCGGUCCGCUUCCCUGGAAUAAAGAAGUUCUGGGCAGCAACAGAAGGACUGACUGCCUACCUGCCUGUGUGGAUACGAACCCCUCAGCUGGUAGGAAGAUGGAUUAAGGAUAUGUUAAGCAAACCUAACCGGACUUAUGCCCAGGAAACAUCUUCUGGACAUGGACCACCACUUACAUUGAAGUUCACAAUCAUUUCAACUGUGGAAGGUCUGUGGAAAGGCCUCUUUACUGGUUGCUGGAAAACCAUAAUUGAAUCCUCAGUAUAUAUCAUAAAUACACAUCAUCUGCAGCUGAGCUCAAGGAAGCAACUACACAAAAGAGCACUAACUUGGACCCACAUUUUCUUCCAACCAUAAGAAUGUGACAAUCUCUACUGAGGUGAGAUAGUUGUAAAUGAAAACUAUAUGCAUAUUCCUGAGAAACUCUUGUCACAUAACUCUACAGUAAAGUUUGGUUACUUUCUUUGUUUUAGAUUCCUAGACAUGGAAGAUCUCAACCUAAAGACUGUCCAGGUCUAUUAGGGUUCAAACAGUUCAUCUGUGUGGUUUGUUUGGUAUUUUAAAAACCUAUGCAGAAACUAUCAGCUGUAAGGAAUUACUCCCUAAAUCAUGGCUGUAAUGAGCUUUAGAUGUGCUGGCUUGACAUGAGAGAGUGCAUCCAUCAGGGGUCAUUCAGGAAAACAGAAAUCACUCUGGGCAUUUCAGACAGAGGGUUGAUAUUAGGAAUCAGGUGUUUACCACACUGAAGAAGAGAAAGUCAGGGGAAGCUGCCACUGGCUUCCAGGUUUGUGUUGUUUCUGAGGUCCUGAAAAGCAGUGAGUUGUGGCUGUCACACAGGAAAUUGCAGGAACUAGCCGCCAGUCGUCAUUGCUGUUUCAUUGCAUAGGGAUGAGUGACUAACAGUGGAAUACCUGUUGUCAUUACAAUACUUCCCAUCUGCCUCAUCCCACAUACCUGUCCACUGCUGCCAGAGGAAGAAAUGAAUUUUGCCUCUCUUCUGCCUAACAAACAUUGUAUGAGUGUAUUUGUGGCUGACUGUAAAUGGCAUCCAGGAUCCUGGAGGAAAUUGGGUCAGAGAAAUAGAGUUUCAAGACACUCCAGCAUUUGUGAUAUAGAGAAGAGAAUAGAAGGGAGUGGGAAUGCAUUUUGAAUAAAG
ensembl:lncRNA